rnacentral:rRNA from 1 species
CGCGUAGGCGGCCGGGCAAGUCGGAGGUGAAAUCCCUCGGCUCAACCGAGGAAUUGCCCCCGAUACUGCCUGGCUUGAGUCCUGGAGAGGGUAGUGGAAUUCCCAGUGUAGCGGUGAAAUGCGUAGAUAUUGGGAGGAACACCAGUGGCGAAGGCGACUACCUGGACAGGUACUGACGCUGAGGCGCGAAAGCGUGGGUAGCAAACA